GGAAGGGCCUGCCUUUGAGACUUGUCACUCCCUGAGAUCCAUCGUGGCACCAAAUGUUUGCCGAGCUCCGCCCUGGGAGGGAGGCCUGCAGCCUGGGAACUGGGAGACCUGGGUCCCAGUGGAGAGGCCUCACCAUGUAGUCUUAUGCCACAUUUUGCUGCCCUUGUGGACUCUGAGCUUGGUGCUGCCUGUUGUCUGCCUGCCCCUGACCUGAAGGACAUGCCCAGCUCCUUCUCUCAUCCUUGCCUCUCUUUUGCAUCUUCGUAAUACAUAUUCACUUUUUAAAAAAGGAAUGGCUCUUUGAAGCUAAUGGCUAUCUAAAUCUUUCUUUUCUAUUGUCCAGCACAGUGUGAAUAAAUACAUACAGGCUAUGAUUCCA
rnacentral:lncRNA from 1 species